rnacentral:rRNA from 1 species
UACGUAGGGGGCAAGCGUUGUCCGGAUUUAUUGGGCGUAAAGGGCGUGUAGGCGGCUAUACAGGUCCGUUGUGAAAACUCGAGGCUCAACCUCGAGACGCCGAUGGAAACCAUCUGGCUAGAGUCCGGAAGAGGAGAGUGGAAUUCCCGGUGUAGCGGUGAAAUGCGCAGAUAUCGGGAAGAACACCCGUGGCUAAGGCGGCUCUCUAGUACGGUACUGACGCUGAGACGCGAAAGCGUGGGGAGCGAACAGG